rnacentral:lncRNA from 1 species
AUAGAGAGUUGGUGACUGCCUUUGAGAGAAUGGUUGUGAUCCUUUUGCCGAGAACUCACCCAGAGGACUUAAACCUUGGUGACAGCAGAAGGACUCAAGUUAGAAGGCCAGGGCCCUUAAAGGGAGGGGAAGAUUCGAGGAAAGUAUAGAUUAGAAAACUGAGGCCCAGAGAAGGAAAGUAGCUGCCAGAGGUCACACAGCUAGGAUUGAGGGAUCAGAGGUUGCACCCUUCUAGGAACUUCCGCCUGAGGGAGACUGGUCAGAGCUCAGGAGGGACUGUUCCAGGGGAUGAGAUAUCUGCUGGCCAGGAAAGGCAUGGGAACUGGGCAGCGGAGCACACCCUCCAGACCUGGCCCAACUUCAGAAUAACAACAAAUGAUUGUGCCAGGCUCUGCCAGUUCCUCCUCCCCCACAAGCUGGCACGUGUGGAUAUUGGCUCUGUUUGCCUUUGACCCCUAGUGAAAGAAAAUACUGAGACGGAGUCUCGCUCUGUCGCCCAGGUUGGAGUGAAGUGGCUAGAUCUCAGCUCACUGCAACCUCUGCCUCCCAGGUUUAAGCAAUUCACCUGUCUCAGCCUCCAGAGUAGCUGGGACUACAGGCGCAUGCCACCAUGCCCUACUAAUUUUUUGUAUUUUUAGGAGAGACGGGCCUUCACCAUGUUGGUCAAGCUGGUCUCGAACUCCUGACCUCAGGUGACCCACCGGCUUCACCCUCCCAAAGUGCUGGGAUUACAGGCAUGAGCCACCGCGCCCAGCCUCAUAUCUAUCUUUAUCACUCCAUUUCAGAUCUUCUUCCAUAUAUGGCUCUGUGUGUCUCCUGUCCUUCCCUGUCUCCU